AACGAACGCUGGCGGCAUGCCUAACACAUGCAAGUCGAACGAGACCUUCGGGUCUAGUGGCGCACGGGUGCGUAACGCGUGGGAACCUGCCCUUAGGUUCGGAAUAACUCCCCGAAAGGGGUGCUAAUACCGGAUAAUGUCUUCGGACCAAAGAUUUAUCGCCUUUGGAUGGGCCCGCGUUGGAUUAGCUAGUUGGUAGGGUAAAAGCCUACCAAGGCGACGAUCCAUAGCUGGUCUGAGAGGAUGAUCAGCCACACUGGGACUGAGACACGGCCCAGACUCCUACGGGAGGCAGCAGUGGGGAAUAUUGAACAAUGGGUGAAAGCCUGAUCCAGCAAUGCCGCGUGAGUGAUGAAGGCCUUAGGGUUGUAAAGCUCUUUUACCCGGGAUGAUAAUGACAGUACCGGGAGAAUAAGCGCCGGCUAACUCCGUG
rnacentral:rRNA from 1 species